rnacentral:rRNA from 1 species
AUGUUAGAUACAUCGGGUUUAUCCAAGGCAUGGUGGGGGGAGGCUAUAUUGACGGCAUGUCAUGUCCUGAAUAAAGUUCCGACAAAGGAUAGUGAGAUCACUCCCUAUGAGAAAUGGGCAAAGAGAAGGACGACACUCUCGUACCUGCGCACUUGGGGCUGUUUGGCGAAAGUCAACGUGCCGAUCCCCAAAAAGCGUAAGCUUGGACAUAAGACCGUGGACUGCAUUAAUUUGGGCUACGCUAAGAACAGCGUUGGCUAUAGAUUUCUAGUAGUGAAAUCUGAGGUACCUGACCAGAAGAUCGGUACAAUUAUGGAGUCUAAGGAUGCUACAUUCUUUGAGGAUAUUUUUCCUAUGAGAGAUAUGCAAAGCACUUCUAGACAGGAAUCUGAGGAGACUCCUGAACCUGCCAUCCCUAUGGAAUAUUAUGAACAAACACAUGAUGAAAAUCCCGAGGAGGAUGACGAGGAAAUCCUUGGUAGGGGCAAGAGACAAAGGACUGCAAAGACCUUUGGUGAUGAUUUCUUCGUGUACCUCGUGGAUGAUACUCCCACUUCUAUUUCAGAAGCGUAUGCCUCUCCAGAAGCUGACUACUGGAAGGAUGCGGUCCGUAGCGAGAUGGAUUCCAUCAUGGCUAACGGGACAUGGGAGAUCACUGACCGUCCCUAUGGUUGCAAACCACUGGGAUGUAAGUGGGUGUUCAAAAAGAAGCUUAGGCCCGAUGGUACGAUUGAAAAGUACAAGGCUAGGCUUGUGGCCAAGGGCUAUGAUCAGCAAGAAGAGGAAGAUUUCUUUGAUACUUAUUCACCUGUGGCUAGACUGACCACCAUUCGAGUAUUACUCUCGUUGGCGGCCUCACAUGGUCUUCUCGUCCAUCAGAUGGAUGUUAAGACAGCUUUUCUAAAUGGAGAGCUAAAGGAGGAAAUCUACAUGCAACAGCCUGAUGGCUUUGUGGUAGAUGGUCAGGAAAGAAAGGUGUGUAGGUUGAUAAAAUCUUUAUAUGGGCUGAAACAAGUACCUAAGCAAUGGCAUGAUAAGUUUAAUACAACUCUGACAUCUGUUGGUUUCGUUGUUAAUGAGGCUGACAAAUGUGUAUACUAUCGCCAUGGUGGGGGCGAAGGAGUUAUACUGUGCUUGUAUGUUGAUGACAUACUGAUAUUCGGAACAAACCUCAAAGUCAUUGAGGAGGUCAAAUCGUUUCUAUCUCAGAACUUUGAGAUGAAAGACCUUGGUGUGGCUGAUGUUAUCUUGAACAUCAAGCUACUGAGAGAUAAUGAGGGUGGGAUCACACUUCUGCAAUCCCAUUACGUUGAGAAGGUGUUGAGUCGUUUUGGAUAUUCGGACUGCACACCAUCUCAAACACCAUAUGAUCCUAGCGUAUUGAUACGAAAGUCCAAAGGCAUGGCUAAAGAUCAAUUGAGAUACUCUCAAAUCAUUGGUUCACUGAUGUACCUAGCGAGCGCAACGAGGCCUGCAUCGCGUUUGCUGUGA